UGCCCAGGCUGGGGCUGCUGCU
rnacentral:miRNA from 8 species